AAGAAUGAUGUCCUCUAUGCCU
rnacentral:siRNA from 1 species